rfam:Clostridiales bacterium 1_7_47_FAA supercont2.4 genomic scaffold, whole genome shotgun sequence.
GGCGAAUCAGCUCUGUACAAUUGUAUCCGGUGAAGCAUUGUACGGAGC